rnacentral:lncRNA from 1 species
AGGUCAUUUUGGUGGAAGGUGGUGGUGUGGAUGGUGCCCGGUACCAAGAACUCAUCAGGGAGGUCGUUGGCCUGAAGCAAAAGAUGCUUAUAGGAAAUUAAAAAUGCAUCUUUUCCACAAAUUGGAGUGGAGUCGGUGUGGCAGAUAAGUGGGAGAGGCUGUGAUCUUGAGAGGGCCUGUGACGGGCACCAGCUGCUGACCUUGGCACUGCCAUUUGGACCUUUCCCAUUCACGCUUAGGGGACUCCUGUCGGGGGUGGGGGGUGCAGGCUGGAACCUGGCAGAGUUCCCAACAUUCUCAAAGCCACAGCAGCAAUGGGUUGCAAGCAGAGUUUCUCAGAAUUUGCCCGAGGCAUCCAGAAUUCUUCUCUGCAGAAUUGCUAUUGCAGAUGCUCAAAAGAGUCAAAACUGAAUGGCAAACAUUCAGUCCUGGGUUAUCCAAGUGCCUAGGUCUUUGCUGGAAACCGAGGACACUCUGAUCUCUCAAACUGCCUAAUUUGAUUUCAUCAGAAACGUAUACAUACAGAAACUUCCCUUGCAGGCUGAGAACCCUGCUGAGAAAUGUUAGUCCAGAGUGCAAUUAGCUGGGGGUGGGGCUGGGGGCGCGUGGAUUCAGCAUUGGAAAAUAAAACUUCACAGGAUAGAGCGUCCUGAUGAUGACAGCAGUGUCAGUUACUCUCUCCUAAUAUGCCUCUAUUUAUCCCAUCAUCUCCUCUGGUUAAUGAACGCGACCUCGGUGCUCCGCUGCCGUUAUUGCUCCAUAAUGGGCCGAGGAGAUGGCCUGUCUUUGCCUUUAUCCCUGCUGGCACCUCCUAGCACUGAAGCGCAUUAAAGUAAUAAAAUUAAGCAGCAAGGCGUCCUCGUCACUCCCACCAUGUUCCCGUAACCCCUUCAUUUACAACAGACGGAGACAGGGGGGAAAAACAAUGU